UAAUGGGGGGCGCUGGACCUGGAACGAGCAGAGUGUGGGGAAGAGUGGAGGCUUUCACAAGAGGCGUGCGGGAAAACUUGCCGGUUCCAAAUCCAUUUGUGAUAAGCGGAGUCAGGUCAAAAUCUCUGACUCUCAUGGUUCUCGUCGUCCUCUCCAUCCCCCUGCCCUGCAAUUGCCCGCCCCCAUGGGAUUCUCCAAGGAACACCCCUCCAGACGCCUCUCGAGGGCUCUCAAGACUCUCUUCUUCUUGAUCGCCAUGCUCCUCUCUCUUCUCUUCUCCGCUCCCCUCCUCCUCGUCAUUGCCGACGCCCUUCUCCCUUCCGUUCUCCUCUCCGCCAUCUCCCCUUCUCCUCUCUCCCUCCAAACUCUCUCUUCCCAUUUCUAUCGCUACGACUUUCGACGAUCUCUCCUGGACAUACCCCUCGUCUCCAUUAUAAGAUCUUUCCUCAUCUUCUGCGUGUAUCUCUUGUGUGAUGGGCCGAGACUUUCGCGGGCGCCUUAUCUGGGUGCGACGAUGGCGUGCUCUGUUCUGUCAGUCAUGUUUGUAUCGCUGAAAGCUGUUUACGUGUUCGGCUUAUCGGGUGGAAGGAAUGGAAGAGCCUUGGAAAUAGCUCUGUUCGCGUGUUCCUAUGCUCUGGCCGUGGGGCAUAUCGUGGUUGCUUAUCGAACCAGUUGCAGGGAAAGGCGGAAGCUUCUGGUCUACAAAAUUGACAUCGAAUCGAUUUCAGCCUGCAAGGACGGGUAUCCGAGGCAUCCCAAGUUUCUGCGGGAGGAACGAGUGACACGAAGCAGCUAACAGACAGAAGCACGGAUCGGAUGAACUGUAGAUGGUAGAUGUAACAUAGGAGUUUUCAAAUUAGCAUCUUCGUUAGGCUAUUCACGCUUAACUGUCCACAGCCUUAAGGUAUUUUCAGGUUCAUCUGAAGGAUGACAGAAACCUUGACCUUAUUAUAAGGGCAGAAACUAACAUCACAUGGCACCCAUGACGCAUAGUGCAGUGGUGUCUAGGCGCGCGCGCGCGCGCGCGCACACACACAUAUAUGCCACGGCUCCACGCCUCAUGGCCAUGUUAUAUCUGACUUCCAUUUAGUUUAUUCUGUGAUUUUUUUGUUUACAAGGUAAUUUAUAGUAUAUUUUCUGUGUUAAUUUCCAAAAGGCCCGGUGAAGUUGAGAGGUUAUGGAUUGGCCAUCCAGCUCAAUAU